AGGACGAACGCUGGCGGCGUGCUUAACACAUGCAAGUCGAGCGGUAAGGCCCUUCGGGUACAUGAGCGGCGAACGGGUGAGUAACACGUGGGUAACCUGCCCUGUACUCUGGGAUAAGCCUGGGAAACUAGGUCUAAUACCGGAUAUGACCUGACAUCGCAUGGUGUCGGGUGGAAAGUUCCGGCGGUACAGGAUGGACCCGCGGCCUAUCAGCUUGUUGGUGGGGUAAUGGCCUACCAAGGCGACGACGGGUA
rnacentral:rRNA from 1 species